rnacentral:rRNA from 1 species
AGCGAACGCUGGCGGCAGGCCUAACACAUGCAAGUCGAACGAAGUCUUCGGACUUAGUGGCGGACGGGUGAGUAACACGUGGGAACGUGCCUUUAGGUUCGGAAUAACUCAGGGAAACUUGUGCUAAUACCGAAUGUGCCCUUCGGGGGAAAGAUUUAUCGCCUUUAGAGCGGCCCGCGUCUGAUUAGCUAGUUGGUGAGGUAAAGGCUCACCAAGGCGACGAUCAGUAGCUGGUCUGAGAGGAUGAUCAGCCACAUUGGGACUGAGACACGGCCCAAACUCCUACGGGAGGCAGCAGUGGGGAAUCUUGCGCAAUGGGCGAAAGCCUGACGCAGCCAUGCCGCGUGAAUGAUGAAGGUCUUGGGAUUGUAAAAUCCUUUCACCGGUGAAGAUAAUGACUGUAGCCGGAGAAGAAGCCCCGGCUGACUUCGUGCCAGCCGCCGCGGUAAUAC